rnacentral:rRNA from 1 species
UGGGGAAUAUUGCACAAUGGGGGAAACCCUGAUGCAGCGACGCCGCGUGAGCGAAGAAGUAUUUCGGUAUGUAAAGCUCUAUCAGCAGGGAAGAAGAAAUGACGGUACCUGACUAAGAAGCACCGGCUAAAUACGUGCCAGCAGCCGCGGUAAUACGUAUGGUGCAAGCGUUAUCCGGAUUUACUGGGUGUAAAGGGUGCGUAGACGGGAAAUUAAGUUAGCUGUGAAAUCCCUCGGCUUAACUGAGGAACUGCAACUAAAACUGAUUUUCUUGAGUGCUGGAGAGGAAAGUGGAAUUCCUAGUGUAGCGGUGAAAUGCGUAGAUAUUAGGAGGAACACCAGUGGCGAAGGCGACUUUCUGGACAGUAACUGACGUUGAGGCACGAAAGUGUGGGGAGCAAACAGGAUUAGAUACCCUGGUAGU